rnacentral:rRNA from 1 species
UACAGGGGGUGCAAACGUUGCUCGGAAUCAUUGGGCGUAAAGCGCACGUAGGCGGUUCGUUAUGUCGGAUGUGAAAGCCCUUGGCUUAACCGAGGAAGUGCAUCCGAAACUGGCGAGCUAGAGUACUAAAGAGGAUCGCGGAAUUCCCGGUGUAGCGGUGAAAUGCGUAGAUAUCGGGAGGAACAUCAGUGGCGAAGGCGGCUACCUGGCCCAAUACUGACACUCAGGUGCGACAGCGUGGGGAGCAAACAGG